GACGAAGGGGGCUAGCGUUGUUCGGAAUUACUGGGCGUAAAGCGCGUGUAGGCGGUUAUCCAAGUCGGGGGUGAAAGCCUUGAGCUUAACUCAAGAAAUGCACUCGGUACUGGGUGACUAGAGGACCGGAGAGGAUAGUGGAAUUCCCAGUGUAGUGGUGAAAUACGUAGAGAUUGGGAAGAACACCAGUGGCGAAGGCGGCUAUCUGGACGGUUUCUGACGCUAAGACGCGAAAGCGUGGGGAGCAAACAGG
rnacentral:rRNA from 1 species